UACCAGCACCCCGAGUGGUCGGGACGUUUAUUGGGCCUAAAGCAUCCGUAGCCGGUUCUGCAAGUCUUCCGUUAAAUCCACCUGCUGAACAGAUGGGCCGCGGAAGAUACUAUAGAGCUAGGAGGCGGGAGAGGCAAGCGGUACUCGAUGGGUAGGGGUAAAAUCCGUUGAUCCAUUGAAGACCACCAGUGGCGAAGGCGGCUUGCCAGAACGCGCUCGACGGUGAGGGAUGAAAGCUAGGGGAGCAAACCGG
rnacentral:rRNA from 1 species